rnacentral:rRNA from 1 species
UACGAAGGGGGCUAGCGUUGCUCGGAAUUACUGGGCGUAAAGCGCACGUAGGCGGCUUUCUAAGUCAGGGGUGAAAUCCUGGAGCUCAACUCCAGAACUGCCUUUGAUACUGGAGAGCUUGAGUUCGGGAGAGGUGAGUGGAACUGCGAGUGUAGAGGUGAAAUUCGUAGAUAUUCGCAAGAACACCAGUGGCGAAGGCGGCUCACUGGCCCGAUACUGACGCUGAGGUGCGAAAGCGUGGGGAGCAAACAGG